AUGAAAUAAUUUUUUUUAAAAUUAAUAUUAAGAUAUUUGAGAAAUUUUGACAAUAAAUACAAUUCAUAUAAAGAGUUAUAAAGCCACACCAUCCCUUGCCAUCUUAUGAUUAGUUUCGUCCAUCCUCUAACUUUGUCAUUUGUUUUUAAUUCCAUGUCUUAUGUUUCCAACUCCUUGUCCAUUGUUUCUAUCCCCCCCUCCCAUCUCUUGUUUCCAAUACAUCCAUUUUUUGUUUCUAGCAUCCAUGUUCCUUAUUCCCAAUCCCCUUUCCAUCCUUGUCUCUUGUUCCUAGCACCCUC
rnacentral:lncRNA from 1 species